CCCACCCCCGGACCCCCAGACGCGGAGCCGACCUGCAGGAGCUCCAGCAGGUGGAAAGGCCCUGCCUUAGGCGUUGGGUCGUGGGAGGCUUUACUGUUCUCUCGACAGAGCUCGCAAGGCCCCGGGGGCCGGGAGUUUGGCGACGUCUCUUGUGACCUGAACGGUCGGUGGAUGCGCAGCAGAGUCUACCUGGGAGAGGCUGGGAAGACAGGAGAGGAGCGGCCUGGAGAAGAUGCUCAGAGGUGUUCUGGAAAGUUCCAGGGAGAAGGAGAAGCCUGGGGCCUGGGCAGAAGCCUCCAGGGGAGUCGUGGGCUGACCUCAGCAACUAGGGAGUUGUCUGAAAGGGCAGGGGGCCGGGGGCUGGAUGCUGGGGGUGACCGCAGGUGUGGGACUCAGUCCCGGGUGGGAGGCGCCCACGGUGAGGUUUGGGGACCUCCCCGGCCCGGGGUGUAUGACAGUGGCCCCACAUGCCCAGGACUCCUUGAAUUUGGAUGGGGGGGGGCAGAGUCUGAUGACACAGGAAACCGUGUGGGGCUCCCUGCCGGUCUGCCCAGGGCCUGAGUCACCUGCCCCUCCAGAGAGCUGUUCCCUGGAGCAGCCGGUUUGUCUCUUCACGAUGGGGGGCAUCCCAGCAUGAGCCGGCGUCUCCACACUUAUUGUCACCAAGAUGGUCCCAAGUUCCGUUUACCUAAAGCUCUUCGGAGGCUGUAAAUGAUUUUUUCCAGAGCUGCUAGGCUUUUAAUCUGAUAAAAUGUUUCUUCCUCCUCUUCUGUGGGAAAAAUUAAACAUAAGCAUCAAGCUUUGACAUACAA